UUUUAAAUUGUUGUUUACGACAAAAUGGCAAGAUGUUUACUUGUAUAUUCAUUGAUUUGAGCAAUUUCUUCGUCCCUAUCUGAUUUAAAACUUAUCUCCACCCAAAGCCUUUAUUCAAGAGAUAUCUAGAUUAAUUAAUGGAGUGUAUAAAUAUAAGCAACGAUAUAGGUUUGCCUCAAAAUUCGCUUUGAGGAUAACAGAAAUAUUUCAGAGCAUUAUGAAGCUGUCUUCGCAAGUACUGUUUCUUGUGGCGUGCAUGGCCAUGUAUCUUUACAUACC
rnacentral:lncRNA from 1 species